ACGGCUCAGUAACACGUAGUCAACAUGCCCAAAGGACGUGGAUAACCUCGGGAAACUGAGGAUAAACCAUGAUAGGCCAAGGUUUCUGGAAUGAGCCAUGGCCGAAAUCUAUAUGGCCUUUGGAUUGGACUGCGGCCGAUCAGGCUGUUGGUGAGGUAAUGGCCCACCAAACCUGUAACCGGUACGGGCUUUGAGAGAAGGAGCCCGGAGAUGGGCACUGAGACAAGGGCCCAGGCCCUAUGGGGCGCAGCAGGCGCGAAACCUCUGCAAUAGGCGAAAGCUUGACAGGGUUACUCUGAGUGAUGCCCGCUAAGGGUAUCUUUUGGCACCUCUAAAAAUGGUGCAGAAUAAGGGGUGGGCAAGUCUGGUGUCAGCCGCCGCGGUAAUACCAGCACCCCGAGUUGUCGGGACGAUUAUUGGGCCUAAAGCAUCCGUAGCCUGUUCUGCAAGUCCUCCGUUAAAUCCACCUGCUCAACGGAUGGGCUGCGGAGGAUACCGCAGAGCUAGGAGGCGGGAGAGGCAAACGGUACUCAGUGGGUAGGGGUAAAAUCCAUUGAUCUACUGAAGACCACCAGUGGCGAAGGCGGUUUGCCAGAACGCGCUCGACGGUGAGGGAUGAAAGCUGGGGGAGCAAACCGGAUUAGAUACCCGGGUAGUCCCAGCUGUAAACGAUGCAGACUCGGUGAUGGGUUGGCUUCGAGCCAACCCAGUGCCGCAGGGAAGCCGUUAAGUCUGCCGCCUGGAGAGUACGGUCGCAAGACUGAAACUUAAGGAAUUGGCGGGGGAGCACCACAAGGGGUGAAGCCUGCGGUUCAAUUGGAGUCAACGCCGGGAAUCUUACCGGGGGCGACAGCAGAGUGAAGUCAAGCUGAGACUUUACCAGACAGCUGAGAGGAGGUUCAUGGCCGUCGCCAGCUCGUGCGUGAGGUGUCUGUAGUCAGUAACGAGCAGAUCCUGCCUCUAGUGCUACCACUGCUCCUCAGAGCAGA
rnacentral:rRNA from 1 species